AAUUGUUAGGAAAAGGAUAGAUAUCUGUCUGACUAAUGCUGAGCAUGAUCAAUGCUGACUUGUAGCAGAAAAGUCUACUCAAAUGGAGUUGCUUAGGGGAGAGUGGGGUAAGAUGAGCCAUUUUUCAUAUUUUAGAUCACUACAUCAAAGCAAACAUAGUUUUGUCUCUAACUAGUGUAUCUGCAUAUAUUUCAAGAUGUUAUGCAUCCCUGCAAACCAAUAGAAUGAAUAAAAAUUUAUAAUGACCUUUUUUGGUCUGAACACAAUUCUAAUCAAACUAUGUGCUUCCAACCUUCACAGACUUCAUGAAUUGAUGCCCAUCUCCUAAAUAUUUGGUCACAUGAUCAAUUUCUUCUACCAUUUCCAAGCAACAGGGGCUGGUUCGACUUACCCCACUCUCC